UCCUAGAAUCGCCCUGAUGAGGACCGGAUGAGCUGCCCGCUCUUGCCUCCGGGGAGCCGCCCCGCCUCUUGAAGUCGGAAAAAGUCAGGACUCGGGACGCUCUCCGACAGGAAGCGUCCGUCAAGAGUGGCCCAAAGAGUCCCUGGUCAUCUAUCAGAACCGAGCUGCCCUCGUGGAACACCCCCUACCCCAAAUCUUCUCCUGCUCUCAAGCACCUACCGGAUCGACCCUAACCCUUACAGCGCUAGAAAAUGUCGAAAGCAGCUGCCGUGAGCCUCUGCACUGUCUAUUUGUUCUUUCUGCUCUUAUGCACACCUAUUUCGUCUAAUCACUGUCAAUAGUUUGGGGCCUGGAUGGCUGCGAACGGAAAAGGAACGAGGAUCCCGUUCCACAGAGGAGAACUUUUUCGAGAAAUCAGGGCACGUCAAAUGAAAAACUGAGAAUUCUCCUCUCCCACCUAUGUUUUCCUUUGUCUGCCUCUCUUCAUUACGGUAUUACAGUAAAUAUCUGUGACAGAGAAA